rnacentral:rRNA from 1 species
CAGUCGCCGCGGUAAUACGGAGGAUCCAAGCGUUAUCCGGAAUCAUUGGGUUUAAAGGGUCCGUAGGCGGUCUUGUAAGUCAGUGGUGAAAGCCCAUCGCUCAACGGUGGAACGGCCAUUGAUACUGCAGGACUUGAAUUAUUGGGAAGUAACUAGAAUAUGUAGUGUAGCGGUGAAAUGCUUAGAGAUUACAUGGAAUACCAAUUGCGAAGGCAGGUUACUACCAAUUGAUUGACGCUGAUGGACGAAAGCGUGGGUAGCGAACAGGAUUAGAUACCCCCCGUAGUCCCUGUCUCUUAUA